rnacentral:misc_RNA from 1 species
GAUGAAGAACGUAGCAAAAUGCGAUAAGUAAUGUGAAUUGCAGAAUUCAGUGAAUCAUCGAAUCUUUGAACGCACAUUGCGCCCGCCAGUAUUCUGGCGGGCAUGCCUGUUCGAGCGUCAUUUCAACCCUCAAGCACAGCUUGGUGUUGGGACUCGCGUUAAUUCGCGUUCCCCAAAUUGAUUGGCGGUCACGUCGAGCUUCCAUAGCGUAGUAGUGAAACCCUCGUUACUGGUAAUCGUCGCGGCCACGCCGUUAAACCCCAACUUCUGAAUGUUGACCUCGGAUCAGGUAGGAAUACCCGCUGAACUUAAGCAUAUCAAUAAGCGGAGGA